AGAUUGGUACAUGUAAUCGAGUAGUGAAGGUGGUGGAGGAGGCUGUGUACGUCUGUUGGCCUCUUUAAUUUGUCUUUGCUCAUCCAGCUGCCUCUGCAGUUUUGCAAUCAUACGCCACGCAGCUUCAAUAUCAAAAAUCUCAGCCAUCGCUCUUUUCUUCUUCUCACGGUUAUCCAACAGCUGAGACACCAAAUAGAAAAAAAAAAGAAACAAGAAAACAAAAAAUAAAUAAAAAUAAAAAUAAAACUUAUAACGCCUGAAAUAAUACUUAAGUCCAGUCAGAAAUAUUAAAGUAAAUUCUAAAUAGUCCCCGGCAACGGCGCCAAAAAGUUGAUCACUAAUUUCUUAGCAACAAAAACCGCAACUAACACAGGCAAUUGUAGCAAGUAAAAGUAACCGAGUAUCG
rnacentral:lncRNA from 1 species